UCAAACUUGGUCAUUUAGAGGAAGUAAAAGUCGUAACAAGGUUUCCGUAGGUGAACCUGCGGAAGGAUCAUUAUCGAAUUUGAAAGGGGUUGUAGCUGGCCUUUCACGAGGAAUGUGCACACCCUGCUCAUCCACUUACACCUGUGCACAUUUGUAGGUUAGAUGCGGACUGGGGACUCUGUGUUCUCGGUGCAAGUCUGCCUAUGUCUUUACAUACUCUGUUCAGUCAAUGAAUGUAAUCUGCGAUAAACGCAUUUUAAUACAACUUUCAACAAUGGAUCUCUUGGCUCUCGCAUCGAUGAAGAACGCAGC
rnacentral:misc_RNA from 1 species